rnacentral:rRNA from 1 species
GAUGAACGCUGGCGGCGUGCCUAAUACAUGCAAGUCGAGCGAACGGACGAGAAGCUUGCUUCUCUGAUGUUAGCGGCGGGCGGGUGAGUAACACGUGGAUAACCUACCUAUAAGACUGGGAUAACUUCGGGAAACCGGAGCUAAUACCGGAUAAUAUUUUGAACCGCAUGGUUCAAAAGUGAAAGACGGUCUUGCUGUCACUUAUAGAUGGAUCCGCGCUGCAUUAGCUAGUUGGUAAGGUAACGGCUUACCAAGGCAACGAUGCAUAGCCGACCUGAGAGGGUGAUCGGCCACACUGGAACUCAGACACGGUCCAGACUCCUACGGGAGGCAGCAGUAGGGAAUCUUCCGCAAUGGGCGAAAGCCUGACGGAGCAACGCCGCGUGAGUGAUGAAGGUCUUCGGAUCGUAAAACUCUGUUAUUAGGGAAGAACAUAUGUGUAAGUAACUGUGCACAUCUUGACGGUACCUAAUCAGAAAGCCACGGCUAACUACGUG